rnacentral:rRNA from 1 species
UGGGGAAUAUUGGACAAUGGGCGCAAGCCUGAUCCAGCCAUGCCGCGUGAGUGAUGAAGGCCUUAGGGUUGUAAAGCUCUUUCGACGGGGACGAUAAUGACGGUACCCGUAGAAGAAGCCCCGGCUAACUUCGUGCCAGCAGCCGCGGUAAUACGAAGGGGGCUAGCGUUGCUCGGAAUCACUGGGCGUAAAGGGCGCGUAGGCGGACGUUUAAGUCAGAGGUGAAAGCCCAGGGCUCAACCCUGGAAUGGCCUUUGAUACUGGACGUCUUGAGUCUGGUAGAGGUUGGUGGAACUGCGAGUGUAGAGGUGGAAUUCGUAGAUAUUCGCAAGAACACCGGUGGCGAAGGCGGCCAACUGGACCAGAACUGACGCUGAGGCGCGAAAGCGUGGGGAGCAAACAGGAUUAGAUACCCUGGUAGUCCACGCCGUAAACGAUGGAUGCUAGCCGUUGGCCGGUUUACCGGUCAGUGGCGCAGCUAACGCGUUAAGCAUCCCGCCUGGGGAGUACGGCCGCAAGGUUAAAACUCAAAGG